GCCGGCAUAGCUCAGUUGGUAGAGCAGCUGAUUUGUAAUCAGAAGGUCGUGAGUUCGAUUCUUACUGUCGGCACCA
rnacentral:tRNA from 1 species